CGCCUGGUAAAAUUAUACCAGGUAGAUUCUGCCCAAUGAACUUUAAAUGGCCGCAGUAUCCUGACUGUGCUAAGGUAGCAUAAUAAUUUGCCUCUUAAUUGGAGGCUAGAAUGAAUGAACUGACGAAGAGCUUUCUGUCUCAGAAGCUUACAGAAAAUUUAUAUUCAGGUAAAAAAUCCUGAAAGUUGUAGGGGGACGAUAAGACCCUAAAAGCUUUACCCUUAAACUCUAAAGCAGUAAAAAAAUUAUUUAGAUUUAUUGGGUUUUCACUGGGGCGGUGACUCUACCUAACUAAAGCCAUUCAAAUACUUUGAGUAAAACUAAUUACCUUAAUUUAAAUCUACAGAUAAGUUACUUUAGGGAUAACAGCGCAAUUUUCUGAAAGAGCCCAUAUCGACCAGAAAGAUUACGACCUCGAUGUUGAAUUGAAGCCUUAGCUAAAGCAGCAUUUAGCUUUAAGAAGACUGUUCGUCUUUUAAACCUUC
rnacentral:rRNA from 1 species